AGGAUGCACUUAGUUCAGUAAUUACUGAUCAAGAUGGCGCACUGCAUACAGUGGUUGGUAUAGCUCUGAAAAAGAGUUGAUAAGUGGCGUAAAUAGAAAAAUAACAAUGAAUUUGAAGAAUUUGCGAUCGCUUCAGAAUGCAAGGAAGAGAUUGUCUGGAUUCAAUAGAUUGUUAGCCGAGUGUAGCACGGAGGCUUCUACUUAUGCUAACUGUGUAACAGGAAAACACAACAUCACAAAACAUGUUUGUCAACAAGAAUUUCAGGCAUUCAAGACUUGUACUCAAAAUGCUGCUAAGAAAAUCAAGUAAUGUUAAUCUUUCAGCCUGGUGUGAGGGAUACAAAUGUUUCCCUUCAAGAGAGACAUGAUUCUCAUUACAAUCAUAAGAAAAUGUUCCAGCUCAAAAUCUGCUCGUUGUACUGCCAACAAAAACAAAGACUGGAGACAGCUUUUCAAGAAGUUGCACCAGAACUAUGGAACCCAGUGCCUAGAAGCAUCCCCUUAUCCAAUACUUUAAUUAAAUCAUUUUAAAAGUUUAGUAAAAACGUAUCUUUUUAAUUAAGAAAUAUUUUUCUUAGUUAAUACAUAGGUUCACAUAUGCUUGAUCUUAUUAUAGACUAGUGGUAGUCUUUAUCUAUAUAUACUCUUAGUCAAAUCCAACUAGUGGUCUAUGCUGCAUUGUGUAGUUCCAGAAUAUCCACCCCUUACCAUCCUCAUGGAGGAAUUUUUUAAGACCC